rnacentral:rRNA from 1 species
UACGUAGGGGGCAAGCGUUGUCCGGCAUCAUUGGGCGUAAAGCGCGUGUAGGCGGUCCGGUAAGUCCGCUGUGAAAGUCGGGGGCUCAACCCUCGGAUGCCGGUGGAUACUGUCGGGCUUGAGUACGGAAGAGGCGAGUGGAAUUCCUGGUGUAGCGGUGAAAUGCGCAGAUAUCAGGAGGAACACCAAUGGCGAAGGCAGCUCGCUGGGACGGUACUGACGCUGAGACGCGAAAGCGUGGGGAGCGAACAGG